CGGUUUCGGUAGAGAACGAAAACCCUAAUCUGAUCUUUCGUUUUCUUUCGAGAGGCUUGUGUGGAAUCGACAAGCAAGGACAAAAAGGAAUCUUCAAGUGACGCGACAAGGAAUCCGUGGGGUAGCUCACUAUAGAAUGACAGUGGCAGGGUGUAGCGAGUAAGAUUCUGGUGAGGAGCCGCCGA